rnacentral:rRNA from 1 species
GACGAACGCUGGCGGCGCGCCUAACACAUGCAAGUCGAACGGAGCUGAGAGGAGCUUGCUUUUCUUAGCUUAGUGGCGAACGGGUGAGUAACGCGUGAGUAACCUGCCCUGGAGUGGGGGACAACAGUUGGAAACGACUGCUAAUACCGCAUAAGCCCACGAUCCGGCAUCGGAUUGAGGGAAAAGGAUUUAUUCGCUUCAGGAUGGACUCGCGUCCAAUUAGCUAGUUGGUGAGGUAACGGCCCACCAAGGCGACGAUUGGUAGCCGGACUGAGAGGUUGAACGGCCACAUUGGGACUGAGACACGGCCCAGACUCCUACGGGAGGCAGCAGUGGGGGAUAUUGCACAAUGGGGGAAACCCUGAUGCAGCGACGCCGCGUGGAGGAAGAAGGUUUUCGGAUUGUAAACUCCUGUCGUUAGGGACGGUAAUGACGGUACCUAACAAGAAAGCAC